AGUGUCAUCAGGUUGCAUUCUCAUCGUGAAGAACCUUUGUGUUAGCACCACCUUAGCAUUGGCAGCUUUGGCAGCGAAGAUUUGUGUAAGGGAUGUCCAGUUCUGGUGGGCUGUUUUGAGAGCGCUUUUCGAUUCUUGGAGUCCCAGUCGAGCCGUUGGGUUACAUCCGCAGCAGCCGGAUGUUGAGUCGUUCCAUCCAUUAUAGGCCAGCAGUCCUUGGCCAAAAGGAUAAGCUGUACUUUUGUUUUCCAAGUGGAGAAAUUCUGUCCCGUGAACUUUUGGAGAAGUUUCUCCCA